rnacentral:lncRNA from 1 species
AUAUAUAUAUAUAUAUAUAUAUAUAUAUAUAUAUAUAAAGUGAUCAUUCACUACUAUUCAACUUGAGACCUCCCAUUUAGGUUGAAAGGUACCAACCAGCUAAUGAUCAUUCACAUAAUGAUCAUUCAGUUCAAAAGGUGAAGGAGAAGAUAAUGCAGUAUGGUCCUUUCCCUGUCUAUCACCAAUCAGGCUCUAUACCGCCAUGUGGUUAAAAAGCAGAAAAAAAUUCCUACUAAUGGAUUAUUAUGAUCACAACCAUCCAUCAAACAUUAGUUGCUAAUAAAUUGACUAAAUACAAACUAGUGGGACAUUUUAGAGAGAAUGACAUGCAUUUUGGUGUUAUGGUUGUGCUUCCUUUAUGUUCGGAAGGAUGCUUACUGGACCAUUUUUAGGACUAUAAUUCCUUGGGAGUGCUUAUAGAAUAUUAAUCUCUAGCCUGCUUUGUAAGAAAAUAUUGUCUUUAAAGUCUAAUCGAAGUCAAUCAACAGGACCAAGAUCUGGUGGUUGGCAUCACCAUGUGCUAGGGUGGUUUUGGGUCAUAAACAUGACGGCGGCCUUAGUCACCAUAUUUCUUAAAAUAAAAAGAUCUAAUUGAUCUCAUGUUGAUUAGAAAUGAUGCCCAAACUGAUGUUUUAUGUGCUUCUCUCCUAUGUAGAUACUACAAAAUAUUGACCUCUCAAGAAAUUUAGGGUAUGUUUAGUUGAAAGGAGUUAGGUUGGAAUGGGAAUGAGUCACUCGUAUUCUAGCCGUUUGGAUGGAAGGAGUCCCACUCCCAUUCAGAUUCCAAAGAGAAAUGGUAGUGCCCCAAUUUUUCCAAACCCAAUCCCAGCUCUUCUCUAGUAUUCAAGUCCUAUUCUAAUUUCGAUUUUGGUUUCAAUCAUAAACCAAAUUUAUCAGAGAAUAUGGCUAUUCUGAUUUACAUUCCAAUCUUAUUUCGAUUCCGAUUUCGGUAGCAAAACAAACGCACCUUGAGUGCAUUGCAUAGGGUUCAGAUUGUAUCCUUUGCACGGAAGUAAUGCACCUUUUUUUGUAACAUCAA